rnacentral:rRNA from 1 species
GACGAACGCUGGCGGCGUGCUUAACACAUGCAAGUCGAACGAAGAGCGAUGGAAGCUUGCUUCUAUCAAUCUUAGUGGCGAACGGGUGAGUAACGCGUAAUCAACCUGCCCUUCAGAGGGGGACAACAGUUGGAAACGACUGCUAAUACCGCAUACGAUCUAACCUCGGCAUCGAGGAUAGAUGAAAGGUGGCCUCUACAUGUAAGCUAUCACUGAAGGAGGGGAUUGCGUCUGAUUAGCUAGUUGGAGGGGUAACGGCCCACCAAGGCGAUGAUCAGUAGCCGGUCUGAGAGGAUGAACGGCCACAUUGGGACUGAGACACGGCCCAGACUCCUACGGGAGGCAGCAGUGGGGAAUCUUCCGCAAUGGACGAAAGUCUGACGGAGCGACGCCGCGUGAGUGAUGACGGCCUUCGGGUUGUAAAGCUCUGUUAAUCGGGACGAAAGGCCUUCUUUGCGAAUAAGUGAAGAAAGGAAUUGAACGGUAACCCGGAAUAAAAAAGC